GACGAACGCUGGCGGCGUGCUUAACACAUGCAAGUCGAGCGGAAAGGCCCUUUCGGGGGUACUCGAGCGGCGAACGGGUGAGUAACACGUGAGUAAUCUGCCCUGUGCUUUGGGAUAGCCACCGGAAACGGUGAUUAAUACCGGAUACGACCAACCUACGCAUGUGGUGUUGGUGGAAAGUUUUUCGGCGCAGGAUGUGCUCGCGGCCUAUCAGCUUGUUGGUGGGGUAAUGGCCUACCAAGGCUUCGACGGGUAGCCGGCCUGAGAGGGUGACCGGCCACACUGGGACUGAGACACGGCCCAGACUCCUACGGGAGGCAGCAGUGGGGAAUAUUGGACAAUGGGCGGAAGCCUGAUCCAGCAACGCCGCGUGAGGGAUGACGGCCUUCGGGUUGUAAACCUCUUUCAGCACCGACGAAGCGAGAGUGACGGUAGGUGCAGAAGAAGGACCGGCCAACUACGUGCCAGCCGCCGCGGUAAUAC
rnacentral:rRNA from 1 species